GAUUGCCAUAUUAACUCCGACGUGGGCAUGGUAACGGGGUAAAACUCGUGCUUUCUUCUCCUCGUCUGGUUUUGGGGCGGUUUGCUGUGAUUCAUUUUGAUUGCAUAUUUUUCGUUACCUAUUCCAUCGAUCAAAAGCCAAAGCACAGUGAGAAGGAGAACCAAAUACCACUACCUCGAAACAACCUCAUAUUUAUUUGGUAUUGAACGGCCAAUUCGAAUUCCACUGCUGGGGACUUCUUUCUUCCAGUUAUCGGCUGCAUCAUCGAGUGAGCAGCUCAUUUUUGUGCGAAGGGAAAAUGGUUCACUUGUUUCUCUCCCAAAGGACUUGCGAUGAUGAUAAUGGCGACAUUGACAUCAACGCCGGCGCCGCAAGCGGGAUGGGUUCACUUCUUGAAGAGCUGGGUUCCCUUCUAUGGCAAGUAAUUGUCGCCAACGGGCGGGCGGAGUCUCGUUUGUGGCUGUGCAGCACCAUUGCAAGCAUAAAUUCGAUUGGGCCAAGAGAGCAGUGGGUGCUAUUCAGGAAACUAUUGGAAUCAAGCUCACAGAGGCGUCGAAUUGCAGCCCAAGUUUUGCAGUUGGUCUUCGAGAAGAAGCCACGGGAGGCAGGAAAGUUGCUUGCGAAGAAAUGUUACAUGUUGGAGAAGUUUUUUAGUGGUAAUCCAGGGCGCAUUCUGCAAUGGUUUGGAAACUUUGCUACUUCUGGUAAGUAUGAGCACCAGAAAGGAGCUCGGGCAAUAUCCCAAUAUGCUUUCAUAAACAGAGAUGUUUGCUGGGAGGAGCUAGAGUGGAAGGGGAAACAUGGUCAGUCACCAGCGAUGGUUGCUACGAAGCCACACUAUUUCCUUGAUUUGGAUGUGUUGGGGACUGUGGAGAAUUUUCUGGAGAAUGUCCCUGAUUUUUGGGUAUCAAAUGAACUUGCAGAGACAUUAAAGGAUGGGGAAAUAUUUCGUAUUGAUAUGAAGUUCUUCACUGAUCAGUUUACCCAUUUGAUGUAUGAAGAGAAUGCAGCAGAUGUAUGGGCUUUCAUUGAUGAAUUUCUAAAUGACGAGCAGUUCUCAAAUCUCUGCAACCUUCUCUUGAUUUUACUUAAUGAAAAUGAGCUGUCUGAGUUUAUGAUUCACAUACACAAAGUUUGCUCAAAUUUGCACUCUAAAGUUUCUUGGCAAACUGCGAAGUUUCAGGGGCCAUUCUCACCAUCCUUUUGGCUUGAAAUUUUACUUUUAACAAGUCCACAAAAUCUAGCCAUUGAUGAAUUGCUUCUAUCAAAUGCAGUUAUUAAUCAUGGUCGCCAGUUGUUACGUCUUGUACAGAGUGAUGAACACAUUGAGGAAAAAGAUAAGAUCAGUGAAAUCCUUUCAAAAAUAAAUAGGAUUCGGGAUGAAGCCCAACAUUGGUCACUGAUGAAGGAAUAUAGAAAAGUAAACAGAUUGGCAGCAAUGAAAUUACUUGGGCUUGAAUCUUGGGUGGUGCAUAGCCAUUUGGCUUUGCAAUGUAAAUCUUCAGAUUCAUGGGAAUCAUUCUUCCUUGCAAAUGGGAUUGGCUUUCGCAAGUCUGCCACAUAUUUGCUAGUUGGUCGAGAUGGCUCUUCACAUAACGGUGGAAGUAGGACAGGUGAUAGCAGUUCAGCCAGAGUUCCUCGAAACAUAAAAAAGAGGCAUAGGAAAAAGAGAAAAAAGUACCGUGCUGACUACGACCAUAGUUCCAGUGAUGAAUUGACAGAAAUAGCAAGUUCAACAAGAUGGGAAGGAUUAGGGUCAGAUGGAUGUUGGUUGAUCUCAACUGACAAUUAUUCCUCUCCCUGGAGCAGUGCUGAUCUACCAGAGCAUCUGGCAAGACACUGUUUUUCGAGCUGGGUGGCAUGGCUUUGCACAAAAUGGUCUUAGUCUUCCAGCAUACAUAAAGUGGGCUUUAGUCUGGGGUUCUCCAGUAAGGCAGUAAAUCAUAUGGAGGUAGACUCCAGUGGUCUUGGCUUCCAAAUUCCCUGUAUGAAACAUCCAAGGUGCUGUGGCAUUCCUUUUUGGAGCAUAUGCACAGACCAAAGACAGAAUCAUUAUAGUGGUGGUGUUUUCGUGAUAUUGGAAUGGGAGCAUUCUAGAUUUUCGUUUCUAAUCACCUGGUGGUGCCCAGUGCAAAACCACAUGAAUAUCUCCUAGUCCUUGCUAUCUGAAUUAGGGUUGUCCUUCAUUUGAUGUCCCAAAAAAUAAGGAAAAAACUAAAUAGAAAAAGGGAAUCAAGAGCUGAAGGAUGAUCAUUCUUAACUGUAACAUCAAUCAUAGUCUCAUCCACAUCUUAACUAUUUGUUCACACUACUCUGAAAGCAAAAAGUUGUUGCAUGAACUUGGCAAGUCUUCUCGUGCACUUGGAGAUCACUUGGAGCUAUGGAUUCUGUGCACUUCCUGUGACUUUUAUUAGAUGCUGCUCUUGAUAGAACCAGAUUUCAAAGAUUUGUUCCUCGUAGCCUCUCAAAGGUUCUGUGCUUAUGUUUUAGGGGGCUAGGUUGUUCAUAUACCCAUGUAGAUUUGCUCACUCAGGCCUGCUUUAUGGUCGAUCCUGCCAAAUGCAUCCGGGUUUAACUCAAACAACCAACUUAUAUUUUUUAUGCAUGGAGUUAUGGUGCAUCCUAUUUCGAGCUUCACAGUGGGUUUUGCACAGGUUGUAUUGUCUUUAACAUUUGUAUUUUUCGUUUGAACUUAUCAAUUCAAUUGCUUCUUUUUUCUUGAAUAACU